UCCCGGUUAACCCGGGCAGUCUCACUAGAGUGCUCAACUUAAUGGUAGCAACUAAUGAUAAGGGUUGCGCUCGUUGCGGGACUUAACCCAACAUCUCACGACACGAGCUGACGACAACCAUGCACCACCUGUCUUCCUGCCCCGAAGGGCUUCCUCAGUUACGAGUAAUUCAGGAGAUGUCAAGUCUAGGUAAGGUUCUUCGCGUUGCUUCGAAUUAAACCACAUGCUCCGCUGCUUGUGCGGGCCCCCGUCAAUUCCUUUGAGUUUUAAUCUUGCGACCGUACUCCCCAGGCGGGGUACUUAUUGUGUUAACGGCGGCACAGAGGGUUGGACCCCCCUACACCUAGUACCCAUCGUUUACGGCGUGGACUAC
rnacentral:misc_RNA from 1 species